CUCCAGUGCAGUUUUAAAUUUUAAUUUAUCUCUUCUACAACUUUUUUUCUUAUUACAGGCCAGGCAUUUGGCUGAAGGGACUUGGAAUGCAGACUAGAUCCAGCUGCUGCUCCAGUACUUCUACAAGCCCCUCUCAUACCAGUUUAUGCCACAGGGGGUCUCACAACAGACUUCUUUUGCUGAGGUCUCCUCAGUGAGUGGAUGGCCUUCAUGACUGGGACUCCAGUAAGCUGGCUCACAGCAGAUCUGCACAUGAAAAUCAGAAACACUGGAAAAGACGAACAUCACAGAGAUGGACUGAACAUACUACCGAAUGUAGCAUUCCAGAGACAGGCACGAUGUGUUUGCUUCUCCUUUACCUUCCGCCAUGAUUGUAAGUUUCCUGAGAUCUCCCCAACCAUGACUCCUGUACAGCCUGCAGAACUACAUGGUCCUGUUCUGUUGCCCAGGCUGGAGUGCAGCGCUGCAAUCUCUGCUGACUGCAGCCUCUACCUCCGGGGGUCACGUGAUUCUCCCACCUCAGCCUCCCAAGUAGCUGGACUACAGCUGCUCAGAUGGAAAGAGAAAAAUGAUCAAUGAGUGUGAGUGGAAAAAAGAAGGAGAGAGAAAAAGAAUGCAAAAAGGAAAAUCGUUAUGGAGUUUUGAGGCACAAAAAAUUGAGACUGCAGAUGAACAAAUAAAUGGCAAAAGAGACGAUUAAUGUGUUUAUAU
rnacentral:lncRNA from 13 species